CUACGUGCCAGCAGCCGCGGUAAUACGGAAGGUUCAGGCGUUAUCCGGAUUUAUUGGGUUUAAAGGGAGCGUAGGCGGAUUGUUAAGUCAGCGGUUAAAGGGUGUGGCUCAACCAUACAUUGCCGUUGAAACUGGCGAUCUUGAGUGCAGACAGGGAUGCCGGAAUUCGUGGUGUAGCGGUGAAAUGCUUAGAUAUCACGAAGAACUCCGAUCGCGAAGGCAGGUGUCCGGGCUGCAACUGACGCUGAGGCUCGAAAGUGUGGGUAUCAAACAGGAUUAGAUACCCUGGUAGUCCACACAGUAAACGAUGUAUACUCGCGGUUUGCGAUAGAUUGUAAGCCGCCAAGCGAAAGCAUUAAGUAUACCACCUGGGGAGUACGCCGGCAACGGUGAAACUCAAAGGAAUUGACGGGGGCCCGCACAAGCGGAGGAACAUGUGGUUUAAUUCGAUGAUACGCGAGGAACCUUACCCGGGCUUGAACUAACGGUGACGAAUCUAGAGAUAG
rnacentral:rRNA from 1 species